GACGAACGCUGGCGGCGUGCCUAAUACAUGCAAGUAGAACGCUGAAGGAGGAGCUUGCUUCUCUGGAUGAGUUGCGAACGGGUGAGUAACGCGUAGGUAACCUGCCUGGUAGCGGGGGAUAACUCUUGGAAACGCUAGCUAAUACCGCAUAAGAGUAGAUGUUGCAUGACAUUUGCUUAAAAGGUGCAAUUGCAUCACUACCAGAUGGACCUGCGUUGUAUUAGCUAGUUGGUGGGGUAACGGCUCACCAAGGCGACGAUACAUAGCCGACCUGAGAGGGGGGUCGGCCCCACUGGGACGGGGACACGGCCCAGACUCCCGCGGGAGGCAGCAGUAGGGGAUCUUCGGCAAUGGACGGAAGUCUGACCGGGCAACGCCGCGUGAGGGAAGAAGGGUGUCGGAUCGGAAAGCUCUGUUGUAAGGGAAGGACGAAUGUGAGAGUGGAAAGUGCACACUGUGACGGUACCUGACCAGAAAGCGACGGCUAACUACGUG
rnacentral:rRNA from 1 species